rnacentral:snRNA from 14 species
UUCCUUACCUGGCAAGGGAAAUACCCCUGGUCUCAGUCUUGAAUGAUUUGGUGUAGUUAGAGGGUGAAAGCCUGUCCCUUGUAGUGUGGACAGGCUGACCCCUGUGAGAUUCUACACAUGCCUCCAAAUGCGAGGAUCUCAGCUACACAAUUUAUGGUGAAGGGGGACUGCUUUUAGGCUUUCCCCCU